GUGCUUUCGCCAUUACUCCAACCACGAGUCGCACCCUUCUAUAGAAGUAAAAAUUACCUGGCUGAGAAAAUUAAAUUUAUGUUCAAGUGCUAUUUCUCUGCAGCACCAAGGAACAGGCAUUUGUUUCUAACAAUCUCGUGGCCCAUAUGGGGAGCUAUUCUCCUCUAGGGGUGGCCUCUAUUCCUCUCUCACGCCCCACUGCCUUGUUGCGGUGGCCUCAAGAGUCAGGAAUCGAGACUCACCUGGUGUGACAAAUAAACCUGGACUCAGCAAUGUCGAAAGAAACCAGCCGGCGACCCAGGGGAAAGGAUCCUCACACACCACAGUGACCAGGCAACUCUGUGCACAGACCGAGGAAGGAAACGCCUGGGAGCCAGCAAAGUAUUUCCUUGGUGGUUGGGACAGACCAAGCCAUAUCCCCAACAUCUAGAAGAGGGCCUGGUACACAGGAAGUGCUCAAGAGGUAUUUGCUGGAUAAAUACUGAUUGCUGUGUGACCUGGGACACAGACAUCGCCUUCUCUGGGCUUCAGCUUUUCUUACUGGGAUAUGAGGCUCUGACCAGAAGGGAGGUUCCCAGCCUUUCUGCUAAAGACCCCUGAAGACUACCUAAGCCCCCUGAAGCUGCCGGUGUGCUGAGAUCUCAAACCACAAAGCACCACUGUACUCACAAGGGGCUCCAGCGGUACUUUCUGAAGAACACGCAGUUCCUCUGGGAGCUCCUGCCCAUUAUUCCAGAUGGUCUUGGAUUGGAAAUGUGAAAUUGCACCUUCCUACACUACUUCCAGAGGUGUCUAGGAAUCACCACUCAGGGACUGCCCCUAAUGUUCUACUGAUUUGCAUAAAAACAAAAAUGACAACAAUAAUAACUACAAUAAUAGCUAAUGUCUGAGAGAUAUCUACAGGCCAGGCAUGGAGUGUUUACAAAUAGGAUCUCAAUCCUGAGAAUAACUCCAAUAGUAGGUCUUAUUAUCUCCAUUUAAUAUUUGAGAGGCAGAGAGAGGUUAGGGCACCUCCUAAAGACACCCAGCAUGAAGCCGUGAGAGCCUGACUAUAACCUGGGGAGGCUGACCUGGGAGCCCACACACUCAGGCCGUGCCUCUGUGAUGACAGCCCUAGCCCCAGGACCCAGGUUCCUACAAGAAGUCCCACCCACUAAGGGGCCGGGCUUCAGGCCAGGGGGGGUCAGGCAGGCUCACCUGGACCUUGGGCAGGACAGCAGCGAUGGACACGCAGACACAGAAGGUGAGGUUGAGGCUGAUGAAGACCUUGCCCUCGUGGCAGCCGCUGGGCUCAGUGUAGUACAUGAACAUCAGCGCCACGGCCGCGAUCGACAGCAAGUAGAAGAGGAGAGUGAAGAAGAAGAGGCCUGGGCCAGAGGGGUAGUGAGAGGGUAGGCAGUGGGUGGGGCAGGAGGAACAGGGAUCCCUACUCCCUCGAGGGACCCUGUUGGCAGCUCUCCCCCUCUCCAGCUCUCAGUUUCCCCACUUGAAGAAUGACGUCACUGCCUUUCACCAACACCUUUGUGAGUCAUUGCCCCACCCUGAGCUAACAUGAUUCACUUGCUACCUUGUAAUAAGGGAAUUGUAACAAUAAAUACAAUGAACUCAAAA